GGGAGGUUGUUUUUAAUUGUUCUUUGAAGCGUCUUUCCAAGUUGUUUAAAGCCUUGUUCGCCCACUCAGGCCAGGUCUUGCUGGACUCCAAGAACAGUCAUGGUUUCUUUCCUGGGUGUUGACACUUGGGCCAGUGCUUCUAUUCUCACUCUCCCUUCUGGCGGCAGUACCUGACAGUCCACUGAUGCAGAGGUGAGGGCUCAGAUCUUUUCGAUGGCAAGUCAUAGCUUUUCUUUGGACUUGCCAAAUCCUAAAGUCAGCCUGAGUCUUCUGGACAGUAAAGCAGAAAGAACGAUAAGGAAGUGAUCAUGUUACCACAGAGUCUACCCAACUGAGAAGAAACUGACUUACCCUCAGCAGAUAUUGUCACCCUGGAUGGGUGACAUUUAGAGGACCAGACAAGAACCAAGAAAAACAGAUACAUACAAAUGGUUAUUGCUGAGGUUCGGUGCCUGCACUAUGAAUCCAUUGCUCCUGGAG